rnacentral:rRNA from 1 species
UGGGGGAAAAUUAAUAUAAUAAAAUUAAUAAUAAAAAUAAUUAUAAAAAAUAAUUAAUGGGGGUUAAAGUAUUUUUUAGAAAAAAUUUAUUAAUUUAUAGUUUAAUAGUAUUGUGAAAGAAUUUUGAAAUAAAGUUAAAUAUGGAUUAUUAUUUAAGUAAAUUUAAUUUAUUGUAUCUUGUGUAUCAGAGUUUAUUAAUAAAAUAUUUUUAAAUAAAAAUAUCUCGAAUUUAAAAGAGAUAGUUAAUUAUUAAAGUUAAUGUGACAUAAUUAUUUUAAAUAAUUAAUUUGAAAUGAAAUGUUAAUCGUUUUUAAAAAUAUCUAGUUUUUUUAGAAAAAAAUUUAAUUUUAAAUUAAUUUAAUAAUUUUUUAAAUUUGUUAUAUAAAAUUAUAUAUUUAAUUAAAUAUUUUAAGGGAUAAGCUUUAAAUUAAAUUUUUAUAAUAUCAAUAAAUUAUUUAAAUAUUUUAAAAUUUAUAUUUUUUAUAAAUUAUAAUUUUUUAUAAAUAAUUUUAUUUAUUUUAAAAUUUAAAUUUAUAUUUAAAUUUAUAUAAAAAAAUAAUUUUUAAUAAUAAAAAAUUAGUUAUAAUUAUAAAAUUAGUAUAUAAAAAAAAAUAAAAUAAAAUUAAUUAAAAUUAAUAAAAAGGAAUUCGGCAAAAAU